rnacentral:lncRNA from 10 species
UAAAUAUUAAACAAACUUUAUUCCUUAAGUUUGAAAAUCUAGAUAAAGUUAAUACAGUUUUAGAAAAAGUUACCAAACUAAGAUAUGGAAAAUGUGAAGUCUUACAACUAUUUAAAAAUCUAAAUCAGUAUUUUAAAAUCUAUUCACAAAGAUAACACAACUAUCCCAAUUAUUCCAAUCUUGUAUUUCCUUCAUUAAUAGAAGGAAUGUAAAUUGGUACAGUCGCUUUAGAGGAAAAUUUAGCAAUACCUAGAAAAGUAAAAAUGUAUAUCCUCUCCCACCAAGGAAUCCCACUACCUGUAUUAGAUGUGUCCAUACAAGAAUGCUCAUAGCAGCAAAUGUUUAAUAGUGAAAAAUUAUAAAAGACCUAAAUGUCCAUUAAUAGGGUAAAUAAACUGUCAUGUUUAACAGUAUACAGCAGUGAAAUAGAAUAAAUUGUAGCUACAGGUAUCAAUCUAAAUUAUCUUCACAAACAAAAUAUUGAACAAAAAAGCAAGUUGCACAAUACAGAGAGAAUGGUACUUGUGCAGAUUUACCAUAGCAGGCCUAACAGGUUAUCCUUAGGAAGGCCUGCUUGCAAGGUUGGUGUUUUUUGACAGGUGUCUGGAAACUUGGCUCUCAAAGUGUUCCCAGUCACCAGUUAACUGAAAAGGGUAGUUGACUAUGUAGACUGUUUGAUUGCAGUAUGAUUUAUGGUGGAUACCUGCUUGCUUUCUAGGAGUCUUUAUUAUGUGCUAGGCAGAUGGUGCCCACAUGACCAAACCUCAAUAAACUGUGGGUACUCUCUAAUGGGCUCCCUGGACAGAAACAUUACACACGUGUUGCUGCAUUUUUGUUGUUGGGGCAAAGUGGGCUCUUUGCAAUCCCUCAUGGGAGGAAGAGCAUAAGGAAGCCUGCAAAUGGAUUCCUCCAGACUCUGCCAGUGUCCUUUUCCCUUAUGAUCCAGAUGUGUCCUUAUUUUAUCGAAGAAUAAAUCUUAGUCAUAUAUGCUGAGUCGCGUGGGUCCUUCUAGCAAAUACCUGAACACAGGGGUUGUUUGGGAGACUCUCAAUCAAAAACCACAUAUAAAGUUUAAAAACAGGUAAAACAAUAACCAUAUAUAUUGUAUAAGAGCUCCCAAGGAGGUAAAAAUAAAAUUAAAAAAUAACCAUAUAUGUCUCUAUAUAUCUGUAUAUAUCCAUAUAUAUAAUGGACACAUAUGUAUGAAGAAAAUGCUUACGAAUAAUAAACACCACAUUCCAGGUAGUAGUAACUUCUGAAAGUGCAGGAAGUAAGAUAUGAUUAAGGAUACCCUGAGGACUUCAACUGUAUUGGUAAUAUAUAUAUUUUUAAUGGCAGUAGGUUCACAAAUAUUCAUCUUAUUAUUCUUUAAGCCUUAUUUGUCUGAAAUAUUUCCUUUAUAAAAACCGGGUCAUGUCCUGGGGUUCUUUAUCAGACUUCUCCAAGUUCACAAUCACCAACUCUGUGGAUCUCAAAUUUUAUAGACCCAAAGCUAAUACCAAAUCUUUCUCAAUUCUUUGAGGUAAACUCAGAUGGUCUCAUCUUAUGCCUGAGAAAGUGAAGUUAAAGAGCAAUUUCUAUAUUUAGAGGUAGAGAAUCCUGGCUCCAAUCCUCUCUUCCCACUUCCUAGCUGAGUGAUCUCGGCAACUUAUUUAACUUCUGUGCCUCAGGUUCCUCAUCUGUAAAAUGGCCCAACUCCUCACUCAUGGUUCAGUUUUCACUUCCUGUAUGAGGACCUCCCAGACCUCCAUACUAGAACAAAUACUCCUUUUCAAGCCCCCAUAGCACUUUGCACCUCCUUCUACUGUGUUCAGAUUGUCUAAGUGUCUGACACUCUCAGCAGACUGUGAGCAACUAAAGCGAGGGGAUCAGGCCUGGCACCCGUAUUAGCAGAGCAGAAUUAUAUAAAAGUUUGAAGGAAGAGGGAUGCAGAAGGGUAUUAAGUAAUGCGAUCAAGUAAGAUGGCACAGGAAUAUCGGGGGAACUUCCUGUUACAGAAGUUAGGGAGCUUCCAAGAUAUGGGACAGGCAGAAGUAGGAGUGGGGCUGUCAAGAAUUGUGAAGGGUCUGAGAUUUUUAUCUUACCUGCAAGCUAACAAGAUAGCCUGUUACUACCUGUAAAAAGGAUAGUUUGUUACUUACAGCAAUAGCAGUAGCCAGAGUACCAGCAUUUGUUCCAGUUCUGAGCCCCAAUUCCCAUAUGAUGACGCAGAGAGCCAGAUGAUACCUGCACAUGUAAUGAAGUGCCUUAAAGGAGAGGAACUUUGAGGUUAGGGAACCUGAAUCUUCAAUAAUGGGCAGUGAGCAUGUGCGCCCUUUGCUCUGAUACCUUCUAAGGUUGUUUACUAUACAAACAUUCCUGGACAAAUAGUCUGGAACAAAGAUAGUCAGUGCCUCUCUUUGCAAAAUAUGCAGAAAUGCUAGAGACCCAUGAAGAAUUGUCUCCCAACGAUAUGCACCUUUCAUUUCUAUGCCAUCUUGGCUUUUGAUGAAUUCUCCCAUAAGUAUGCCACUCCACCUGUCACUCUAAUUAAACUGACAGAAACUGGAACCAGGUCCAUUCAAAGUAUUUUAUUACAUUUAAUUAAAGGUACUAUCAACAGAACUCUAUGUAACAGGAUAAGACCAAUCAGUACUGACUUCAGCCAUAUCCAAGGGCCUGUAUCCAACAAGGUAGGAAAAAAAAACCAACAAUCAUAAACCAUCAGGAUCUACCUUAGAAAGCCAAGUGGCAUUCUCAAGUUUCUGUAUUGACCCUGUACUCGGUCUGAGACAUUAAUCCAGUCACAGUGGGAUGUAUUAGUGAUUGCACUGACUCCAAUUUGGCCCACAAAGAGGAAGAGCAAUUCUAUCACCCAUAACCACCCUGGCCAAUGAAUUGAGGCUGACUUAAGUGCCAUCCAGAGCUGAGGUGGUGUCACUGAUGACUGCAGCUAAAGUCAAGAACAAAUUCCUUAUCAACAUUUCCAAUAGGAUGACUCUCAGGAUAGUGAUAACUGCCUGCAGUAUGCAUAAAUGAAUCAGUUACGCUUUCAGGAAGCUCCUCUGGCCGCUGUUGUUUCCUCAAGAGCUCAGUAGCAGCCUAAGAGGUGCCUAUCUUUUUAAAGGUCACUCUUGGAGUACUCAGGAUAUUUCACCUUGGUGACUGCAAAGUCCACAUAGCUGGUUAUAAUGGAAAAUGGCCUGAGUACUACAGGAGUAACUAAGUUUUCAACUAAACCUGUGCUUUUAUUUCUUUUCCUCUUGCGGUUGUAUGUUGUUUCUUUUAGACUACAUCUCUCUAUACUGCAGUAGUCCCUGAAUGGGAGACUUAUAAACUUUCCUAGUUCAAUUAAAUGUAUAUUGGUAUUAACAACACACUUUGAUGCUAAAGCCAUAAAACAGCAGUACAUUAAAUGUUUAGAGGCUCCAUCCACAGGUCAUUUUAAUUUUCCUUUCCCAUGCAAUUAUCCCCUAAACCAGCCCGUGAAAGGCCUUUGUCCUUUCUCUUCUAGAAAACCAUGUUGGUCAGGAUCCAAUUUUCAUUACCACAACUUUCACAUCUGUGAAUUUUAUCCUACUUGUAAGCUAACAGACCCUACCAGUUGAAUUCAGGUACUUUUUCUCCCCUAUGGGCACCCAAACCAAGCAGUUUAAGAUAGGUAUGUUGGAGAUCACAGCCAAGAAAUGAUGUUAUUUCCACAGCCAGAAGUGUGAGAGGUGGUGGAAGGAGGAGGUGGAAGAGGCUAGCCUGCAGGAGACAGUUGUUACUAGGAAGUAAUCCCACUUUGACUCCUUGCCCCAGAACAGUGUUGCCUCUUCCUUCAAAUACCUGUUGGCUCUGACAAGCACCCCCAGGGCUCAGGGCUCCUUUUUUUUCGCUGCUCUCCUGCAUGCUAUUGUAGAUCUGCCCCAUGGUAUUUGGCAUUUUUGACCACCUCUAUGUGCAGAUUUCCCUGUCCCCAUGGGGCCAAGGAGGAUAGUGAUUUGGAUGCCUAUAUUGAACGGAGCUGUAAAAGGGGCAUUCCUCCCUUCCCCAAAGAUGGGGAGCUUUUUUUCCUUAAAGCUGUAGAGAGAGAGGGAUCAGAAGUUCUAGAGUAGGUUGAUAAAACUGUCGAAGGGGACCAUAGGGUGGGUUGGGUUGUUAGGAAUACUCUAUUUAAUAACAAAAAAGGCUGUCAGUGGGGACAGGAUAUAUUCUAAAAGUCUAAAUUAACGUGCUAUUAACAGUUUUCUCUGAUGACUUCCACCAUGGAGAAAAGGUUUGGGGUGUGGGUGGGGCUAGCCAGGAGUGGAUAAGGUAGAGUUAGUGAGAGAUCGGGCUCCAAGCUGAGGAGGAACUUGGGUCCAGAGAAAAACACAACUUGUGUGUAUGCAAAGGGACUUUGCAUCUUCUUCCAUUCCCCGAAAUUGUUCUGAAGCAAAGAUUGUUUCUACACGUAUAUAAAAGCAUGACAAACAUUAAAUACAUAUUAGCAGUUGAAAUUUGCAAAUAAUGAAAAAACAUUAGGAUCUUUUUCCACUGUCCUCAGUGGCCCUCUAUUUUCUAGAAAAAAGUCCGUCUGAGGUAAGUGUGAGGAACUGAGAACUUCACUCAUGAUGAUGUGAUGGGUGUCAGGGUUUCCUGGUGGCAAGGGUGUUGCAGACCUACUAGAGGGUACAGAGCAGCCCAGCAGCCUUCUGGACUGGGCUGAAAUGGCCACUCAGUAGAUGCAUGUGUCAGAAGCUGGCCAGAGGCACUCUGCAGCUCUACAAAGUGUGCCCAUGCUGAGGCUUGAGCCUGCAGAGGGUACUUUUUGUUCAUGUGAUGAGACACUCCUAAAAUGCCACAAGUGCAAAGACAGGGGACCAACUGCAACAUGUAGCUGGGCUGAUAACCCACUUCUUCAACAAAUCUAAACUGCUUCAACUGGUUUCUGGAGUCAGGGAAAAACCUUAAAAUAGAUCCAUGUAGUCCAAGAAGUCUCCAGUGAGCCUUAUAGGCAGAUAUUGGGGAUAUGGCACCCAACAUUCUUUGUAAUCAUAAGGGAUGUUUUUUAUUUCCCAGGGAAUAAGGAGUCUUCAUAAUCUCAAAAUACAUUCUCUAAAACUUUUUUUUUUUAACAAGAGACUUCACCCUAGAAAAGGAAUAGGAUGUAUUCAAGGUCACAAAUUAGAAAAAAGUUGCUAACAACCCAGGUUUCUUGUCUCUCAUUUGAGGACCUAUUUUCUUCCCCUCUCCUCAAUCCAUACUCCUUCCUGGAAUAGUGAAAAAAACUGGGGAAAAAUUAUCAUCAAUAGGGUAUUAAAGUAAAAUCACUUAUACUAUGGAAUAUUAUGUAGCUAUUAAAAAUGAGACUGACCUAUGUGUAUAUAUAUAUAGGGGUUAUCACCCCAGCUACUUGUUGCAAUUGGUCCCCUGCCUUUGCACUUCUGGUAUUUUAGAACAGUUUCUUUUAUAUAUAUGUAUGUCAGACUCUUUUUUUUUUCUUUUUUGAGACGGAGUUUUGCUCUUGUUGCCCAGGCUGGAGUGCAGGGUGUGAUCUCGGCUCACUGCAACCUCCGCCUCCCAGUUCAAG